UUGAAGUGUCAAAAAAUAAAAAAACCUUCCAAUCCAGUAUAGUAAAUGAAUUUGGAGUUUUGGGGGAAAUUUACAACAAGAGUUUGGCAAAUGAUUUAAAAAUGGAGUCUUGUAUCGAAACACAAAGAGAGAAAGAUCCUUGGUGGAUGGUGGAUUUGCAAUCAACAUAUCCAGUAGAAUAUGUUUCUCUCACUGGCCGGAAAGAUUGUUGCCAACAUGAGAUGGAUGGAGCACUUAUUCUGGUUGGAAAUUCAUCAGAAAAUGGUGGUAAAUCAAAUUCGAGCCUCAGAGAAAACUGUUUCAUGGAGUUGAAGAGGAUUGGUGAGGGGAAAAAAAGAAAAGCAAGAAAAUACAUUUUUAAGAAAUUUAGCAAUGAAAAGAAGGACAAUAGGACAAUAACUUGAGAGAAUGACAGUGUCAAGGGAAAACUUAGUAGAUUAAGAGAGUGCUGAACACGUUUGUUGGCAGAAAGGAAGAACUUGGUAGGAAGAGAGAGAAUAAAGACGAACAAAAUAAUGCUUGAUAGAGCAAUAUUCCAUUGAAGACCAAAGUAGAUUGGAUUAAAACCACAAGCGAACGAUUUG
rnacentral:lncRNA from 1 species